rnacentral:rRNA from 1 species
UACGUAGGGUGCAAGCGUUAAUCGGAAUUACUGGGCGUAAAGCGUGCGCAGGCGGUUUUGUAAGUCUGUCGUGAAAUCCCCGGGCUCAACCUGGGAAUUGCGAUGGAGACUGCAAGGCUAGAAUCUGGCAGAGGGGGGUAGAAUUCCACGUGUAGCAGUGAAAUGCGUAGAGAUGUGGAGGAACACCGAUGGCGAAGGCAGCCCCCUG